UACAUGGGGUGCAAACGUUGCUCGGAAUUAUUGGGCGUAAAGCGCGCGUAGGCGGUUGCUCAAGUCGGAUGUGAAAGCCCUCGGCUUAACUGAGGAAGUGCACCCGAAACUGAGCAGCUAGAGUACCAAAGCAAGGGUCGGCGGAAGUUCCCGGUCGUAUGAGGUGGAAAUUCGUAGAUAUCGGGAGGAACACCGGGUGGGCGAAGGCGGCGACCUGGGUGGAUGACUGACGC
rnacentral:rRNA from 1 species